UGCGGCGGUGGCGAACGUCGCGGCGAGCACGCCUCAGAACUAGCGAUCGCAAAAGCCGGACGUCCGCUGCCAAAUCUGUACGCGGAAGGGGCACAAGGUUGCCGACUGCUACAACCGGCUGAAUCUGGAGCGAUAUCCGCCGUCCCACGGGAGAGUCUUAUCCUCACGUGGCCCGAACGAGAGCACACGGCAGCAAGCGUCAGAGUCGGCCAACUUGGUAGCCACGGCAGCAGGGAGCACACCCACGAUGUGG
rnacentral:lncRNA from 1 species